rnacentral:rRNA from 1 species
GUGGACGCCAGUCUGCGUGGAGCCGACCUUGAAAUACCACCCUUUAAUGUUUGAUGUUCUAACGUGGAUCCGUGAUCCGGGUUGCGGACAGUGUCUGGUGGGUAGUUUGACUGGGGCGGUCUCCUCCUAAAGAGUAACGGAGGAGCACGAAGGUUGGCUAAUCCUGGUCGGACAUCAGGAGGUUAGUGCAAUGGCAUAAGCCAGCUUGACUGCGAGCGUGACGGCGCGAGCAGGUGCGAAAGCAGGUCAUAGUGAUCCGGUGGUUCUGAAUGGAAGGGCCAUCGCUCAACGGAUAAAAGGUACUCCGGGGAUAACAGGCUGAUACCGCCCAAGAGUUCAUAUCGACGGCGGUGUUUGGCACCUCGAUGUCGGCUCAUCACAUCCUGGGGCUGAAGUAGGUCCCAAGGGUAUGGCUGUUCGCCAUUUAAAGUGGUACGCGAGCUGGGUUUAGAACGUCGUGAGACAGUUCGGUCCCUAUCUGCCGUGGGCGCUGGAGAACUGAGGGGGGCUGCUCCUAGUACGAGAGGACCGGAGUGGACGCAUCACUGGUGUUCGGGUUGUCAUGCCAAUGGCACUGCCCGGUAGCUAAAUGCGGAAGAGAUAAGUGCUGAAAGCAUCUAAGCACGAAACUUGCCCCGA